rnacentral:rRNA from 1 species
GACGAACGCUGGCGGCGUGCCUAAUACAUGCAAGUAGAACGCUGAAGGAGGAGCUUGCUCUUCUGGAUGAGUUGCGAACGGGUGAGUAACGCGUAGGUAACCUGCCUGGUAGCGGGGGAUAACUAUUGGAAACGAUAGCUAAUACCGCAUAACAGUAGAUGUUGCAUGACAUUUACUUAAAAGGUUCAAUUGCAUCACUACCAGAUGGACCUGCGUUGUAUUAGCUAUUUGGUGGGGUAACGGCUCACCAAGGCGACGAUACAUAGCCGACCUGAGAGGGUGAUCGGCGACACUGGGACUGAGACACGGCCCAGACUCCUACGGGAGGCAGCAGUAGGGAAUCUUCGGCAAUGGACGGAAGUCUGACCGAGCAACGCCGCGUGAGUGAAGAAGGUAUUCGGAUCGUAAAGCUCUGUUGUAAGAGAAGAACGAGUGUGAGAGUGGAAAGUUCAGACUGUGCAGGUAUCUUACCAGAAAGGGACGGCGAAUUACGG